rnacentral:rRNA from 1 species
GAUGAACGCUGGCGGCGUGCUUAACACAUGCAAGUCGAACGAUGAAGCCCAGCUUGCUGGGUGGAUUAGUGGCGAACGGGUGAGUAACACGUGAGCAACCUGCCCCUGACUCUGGGAUAAGCGCUGGAAACGGCGUCUAAUACUGGAUAUGUCCCGUCACCGCAUGGUGUGCGGGUGGAAAGAUUUCUCGGUUGGGGAUGGGCUCGCGGGCUAUCAGCUUGUUUGUGAGGUUAUGGCUCACCAAGGCGUCGACGGGUAGCCGGCCUGAGAGGGUGACCGGGCACACUGGGACUGAGAGACGGACCAGACUCCUACGGGAGGCAGCAGUGGGGAAUAUUGCACAAUGGGCGGAAGCCUGAUGCAGCAACGCCGCGUGAGGGAUGACGGCCUUCGGGUUGUAAACCUCUUUUGGCAGGGAAGAAGCGAAAGUGACGGUACCUGCAGAAAAAGCACCGGCUAACUACGUG